UUUUGAUGAUAAAAAAUGUGGAUGAGGUAAAGUCCGGGCUCCUUCGGAAAAAAUGCCGGAUAAUAACCGGGCACAAUUUGGCAGCUGUAAUGAAAUUACGCAAGUAAUUGUUUGCAUAGCCCAAUGCGUGACAGAUAGUGCAACAGAAAUAUUACCGCCUGGCAACAGGUAAGGGUGAAAAGGCAGUGUAAGAGACUACCGGUUGUCUGGUAACAGACAAUGCUUGUAAACCUCAUUUGGAGCAAGAUUAAGCAGCAGUUAUGUGUUUCCGAGCAAUACUGCGGGUAAAUCGCUGGAAUUAAAUGGUAACAUUUAAUGCGGAUAGAUGGUUAUUACUUUUAUAGUAGACAGAACCCGGCUUAUAGUCUCAUCU
rnacentral:RNase_P_RNA from 1 species